UACGGAGGGAGCGAGCGUUGUCCGAAGUUACUGGGCGUAAAGCGCGCGUAGGCGGGGGAUUAAGUGAGAAGUGAAAGGCUGGGGCUCAACCCCAUGCAGUGCUUCUCAUACUGGUCUUCUUGAGGGUGGUAGAGAGAAGUGGAAUGGCUGGUGUAGCGGUGAAAUGCGUAGAUAUCAGUCGGAACACCAGUGGCGAAGGCGGCUUCUUGGGCCAUUUCUGUCGCUGAGGCGCGAAAGCUAGGGGAGCGAACGGG
rnacentral:rRNA from 1 species